CACGAAUACAGUUUAAUUGCCAUGGAGCCAAAGUCUUUAAUUCCACGAACAGGCUCCAUGGCAUGGCUAUCUGGGUUAAAACAUACCUCCAACAUAAAAUACCAAAUUUACAUGCAUUCGUUAAAUCCGUACGAAUUAGAACCAGGGGUUGGAGGUUCAGCGGUGCCUGCACGUAAAAGUGUCCGGGUUUGGUGCAGGAAAGCCGGGCAGAAAAGCGCUGGCUGCCCGGGGAGCUCCAGAACACCGCCAUCGUGUGGCGGCUAAGUGUAACCGCGACCACCCAGUAACAAUCAAUUAAGCUGCGGCUAACCGCAGCUACUGGGUGGUCAAUUGCCG
rnacentral:lncRNA from 1 species